UAGGCCGUUUAAUCCAGUUAACCUCUCAGGACAUAUAGAAUCCACAUAGAAUCAUAUAGAAAACCUGUACUUUUGCCUCUGAACUCACUUCAAAGAGAGUUUAAUUUAUGCAAAGCACAUAAAAAAGUGAAGAACUUUACUAGGAAAAAAGGAACCAAAAAGUUAUAAAGGGAUGCUUAGGUAUAGAGAAGAAACAGAAGAAGAACACACAUAUUUUGCUCAACUAAAAGAUCCCAAUUUAACCAUUUUUGCGUCAUAAGUGGAUGAAAUAUAUUGGUUUCACAUGUCCUCCCCUA
rnacentral:lncRNA from 1 species